rnacentral:rRNA from 1 species
GAUGAACGCUGACAGAAUGCUUAACACAUGCAAGUCGAUGGGGAAGUGGUGCUUGCCCCAUGGCAACCAUGGCGGACGGGUGAGUAACGCGUAAGGGACUUACCUGCAGGACUGGGAUAACAGGGGGAAACUCCUGACAAGACCGGAUAAUGUCAUGGAGCUGCAUGGCUUUAUGAUGAAAGGAGACGCCUGCGGAGAGCCUUGCGCCCUAUUAGCUAGUUGGUGAGGUAAUGGCUCACCAAGGCGAAGAUAGGUAGCCGGCCUGAGAGGGUGGACGGCCACAAGGGGACUGAGAUACGGCCCUUACUCAUACGGGAGGCAGCAGUGGGGAAUAUUGGACAAUGGGGGCAACCCUGAUCCAGCAAUUCUGUGUGCACGAAGAAGGUUUUCGGAUUGUAAAGUGCUUUCAGCAGGGAAGAAGUAAGUGACGGUACCUGCAGAAGAAGCGACGGCUAAAUACGUG